rnacentral:rRNA from 1 species
GAUGAACGCUGGCUGCGUGCCUAAUACGUGCUAGUCUAGCAAACUGACUAGAAGCUUGCUUCUCUGAUGUUAGCGGCGGACUGGUCAGUAACACGUCGCUAACCUACCUAUAAUACUGGGAUUACUUCACGAAACCUUUGCUAAUACCGGUUGAUAUUUUGAACCGCAUGGUUUUAAAGUUAAAGUCGCUCUUGCUGUCACUUAUAUAUAUAUCCGCGCUGCAUUAGCUAUUUGGUAAGUUAACGGCUUACCAAGUCAACGAUGCAUAACCGACCUGAGAGGGUGAUCGGCCACACUGGAACUGAGAGACGGUCCAGACUCAUACGGGAGGCAGGAGUAGGGAAUCGUCCGCAACGGGAGAAAGCAUGCAGGAGCAACGCCGCGUGAGUGAUGAAGGUCUUCGGAGCGUAAAACUCUGUGAUUAGGGAAGAACAUAUGUGUAAGCAAAUGUGCACACCUUGACGGUACCUAAUAAGAAAGGCAAGGCCACAUACGUG